GAUGAACGCUGGCGGCGUGCAUAACACAUUCAAGUCGAACGAAGCACUCAAGACGAUCCCUUCGGGGUGAAGCUUGAUUGACUUAGUGGCGGACGGGUGAGUAACGCGUGAGCAACCUGCCUUACAGUACGGGAUAACGUCCGGAAACAGACGCUAAUACCGUAUAAUGCAAUUGGGACGCAUGUUCCGAUUGCCAAAGAUUUAUUGCUGUAAGAUGGGCUCGCGUCUGAUUAGGUAGUUGGCGGGGGAACGGCCCACCAAGCCUACGAUCAGUAGCCGGACUGAGAGGUUGAACGGCCACAUUGGAACUGAGAAACGGUCCAG
rnacentral:rRNA from 1 species